rnacentral:rRNA from 1 species
UGGGGAAUAUUGCACAAUGGGCGCAAGCCUGAUGCAGCAAUGCCGCGUGAGUGAAGACGGCCUUAGGGUUGUAAAACUCUUUCGCUAGGGAAGAUAAUGACGGUACCUAGUAAAGAAGUCCCGGCUAACUCCGUGCCAGCAGCCGCGGUAAUACGGAGGGGACUAGCGUUGUUCGGAAUUACUGGGCGUAAAGAGUUCGUAGGCGGACUAGCAAGUUAGAGGUGAAAUCCCAGGGCUCAACCUUGGAACUGCCUCCAAAACUAUUGGUCUAGAGUUCGAGAGAGGUGAGUGGAAUUCCAAGUGUAGAGGUGAAAAUUUCGUAGAUAUUUGGAGGAACACCAGUGGCGAAGGCGGCUCACUGGCUCGAUACUGACGCUGAGGUGCGAAAGUGUGGGGAGCAAACAGGAUUUAGAUACCCUGGUAGUCCACACCGUAAACGAUGAAUGCCAGUCGUCGGGUAGCAUGCUAUUCGGUGACACACCUAACGGAUUAAGCAUUCCGCCUGGGGAGUACGGUCGC